rnacentral:rRNA from 1 species
GCUCAGAUUGAACGCUGGCGGCAGGCCUAACACAUGCAAGUCGAACGGUAACAGGAAGCAGCUUGCUGCUUCGCUGACGAGUGGCGGACGGGUGAGUAAUGUCUGGGAAGCUGCCUGAUGGAGGGGGAUAACUACUGGAAACGGUAGCUAAUACCGCAUAAUGUCGCAAGACCAAAGAGGGGGACCUUCGGGCCUCUUGCCAUCGGAUGUGCCCAGAUGGGAUUAGCUUGUUGGUGGGGUAACGGCUCACCAAGGCGACGAUCCCUAGCUGGUCUGAGAGGAUGACCAGCCACACUGGAACUGAGACACGGUCCAGACUCCUACGGGAGGCAGCAGUGGGGAAUAUUGCACAAUGGGCGCAAGCCUGAUGCAGCCAUGCCGCGUGUAUGAAGAAGGCCUUCGGGUUGUAAAGUACUUUCAGCGGGGAGGAAGGGAGUAAAGUUAAUACCUUUGCUCAUUGACGUUACCCGCAGAAGAAGCACCGGCUAACUCCGUGCCAGCAGCCGCGGUAAUACGGAGGGUGCAAGCGUUAAUCGGAAUUACUAGGCGUAAAGCGCACGCAGGCGGUUUGUUAAGUCAGAUGUGAAACCCCCGGGCUCAACCUGGGAACUGCAUCUGAUACUGGCAAGCUUGAGUCUCGUAGAGGGGGGUAGAAUUCCAGGUGUAGCGGUGAAAUGCGUAGAGAUCUGGAGGAAUACCGGUGGCGAAGGCGGCCCCCUGGACGAAGACUGACGCUCAGGUGCGAAAGCGUGGGGAGCAAACAGGAUUAGAUACCCUGGUAGUCCACGCCGUAAACGAUGUCGACUUGGAGGUUGUGCCCUUGAGGCGUGGCUUCCGGAGCUAACGCGUUAAGUCGACCGCCUGGGGAGUACGGCCGCAAGGUUAAAACUCAAAUGAAUUGACGGGGGCCCGCACAAGCGGUGGAGCAUGUGGUUUAAUUCGAUGCAACGCGAAGAACCUUACCUGGUCUUGACAUCCACGGAAGUUUUCAGAGAUGAGAAUGUGCCUUCGGGAACCGUGAGACAGGUGCUGCAUGGCUGUCGUCAGCUCGUGUUGUGAAAUGUUGGGUUAAGUCCCGCAACGAGCGCAACCCUUAUCCUUUGUUGCCAGCGGUCCGGCCGGGAACUCAAAGGAGACUGCCAGUGAUAAACUGGAGGAAGGUGGGGAUGACGUCAAGUCAUCAUGGCCCUUACGACCAGGGCUACACACGUGCUACAAUGGCGCAUACAAAGAGAAGCGACCUCGCGAGAGCAAGCGGACCUCAUAAAGUGCGUCGUAGUCCGGAUUGGAGUCUGCAACUCGACUCCAUGAAGUCGGAAUCGCUAGUAAUCGUGGAUCAGAAUGCCACGGUGAAUACGUUCCCGGGCCUUGUACACACCGCCCGUCACACCAUGGGAGUGGGUUGCAAAAGAAGUAGGUAGCUUAACCUUCGGGAGGGCGCUUACCACUUUGUGAUUCAUGACUGGGGUGAAGUCGGAACAAGGUAACCGUAGGGGAACCUGCGGUUG